GGAGAGGUUUUUUUUCCUGGACACAUGUCGAUUUUAGAUAGGGGCAAUUUAAGUUUGAAAAAGUCAUUCCUCCCUUGUCCAAAUUUCCAGCGCCUCUUCUCUCUCUCUCUCUCUUAUUUAUUUAUUUAUAAGUUUUCUUUUUCUUUUAAUUUUUUGAUUUAUUUAUUUGAUAGGAUUUUAAGUGGGCCUUGGUCCUUUUCUUUCUUAUUUGUACACCCUACUUGUUGCAUGCACCUCCUCG
rnacentral:lncRNA from 1 species